rnacentral:rRNA from 1 species
AACUGCGAAUGGCUCAUUAUAUAAGUUAUCGUUUAUUUGAUAGCACCUUACUACUUGGAUAACCGUGGUAAUUCUAGAGCUAAUACAUGCUAAAAAUCCCGACUUCGGAAGGGAUGUAUUUAUUAGAUUAAAAACCAAUGCCCUCUGGGCUCUCUGGUGAUUCAUGAUAACUUCUCGAAUCGCAUGGCCUUGCGCCGGCGAUGGUUCAUUCAAAUUUCUUCCCUAUCAACUUUCGAUGUUUGGGUAGUGGCCAAACAUGGUUGCAACGGGUAACGGAGGGUUAGGGCUCGACCCCGGAGAAGGAGCCUGAGAAACGGCUACUACAUCCAAGGAAGGCAGCAGGCGCGCAAAUUACCCAAUCCCGACACGGGGAGGUAGUGACAAUAAAUACUGAUACAGGGCUCUUUUGGGUCUUGUAAUUGGAAUGAGUACAAUUUAAAUCCCUUAACGAGGAACAAUUGGAGGGCAAGUCUGGUGCCAGCAGCCGCGGUAAUUCCAGCUCCAAUAGCGUAUAUUAAAGUUGUUGUGGUUAAAAAGCUCGUAGUUGAACCUUGGGCCUGGCUGGCCGGUCCGCCUCACCGCGUGCACUGGUCCGGCCGGGCCUUUCCCUCUGUGGAACCCCAUGCCCUUCACUGGGUGUGGCGGGGAAACAGGACUUUUACUUUGAAAAAAUUAGAGUGCUCCAGGCAGGCCUAUGCUCGAAUACAUUAGCAUGGAAUAAUGAAAUAGGACGUGCGGUUCUAUUUUGUUGGUUUCUAGGACCGCCGUAAUGAUUAAUAGGGACAGUCGGGGGCAUCAGUAUUCAAUUGUCAGAGGUGAAAUUCUUGGAUUUAUUGAAGACUAACUACUGCGAAAGCAUUUGCCAAGGAUGUUUUCAUUAAUCAGGAACGAAAGUUAGGGGAUCGAAGACGAUCAGAUACCGUCGUAGUCUUAACCAUAAACUAUGCCGACUAGGGAUCGGACGAUGUUAUUUUUUGACUCGUUCGGCACCUUACGAGAAAUCAAAGUGCUUGGGCUCCAGGGGGAGUAUGGUCGCAAGGCUGAAACUUAAAGAAAUUGACGGAAGGGCACCACCAGGGGUGGAGCCUGCGGCUUAAUUUGACUCAACACGGGGAAACUCACCAGGUCCAGACACAAUGAGGAUUGACAGAUUGAGAGCUCUUUCUUGAUUUUGUGGGUGGUGGUGCAUGGCCGUUCUUAGUUGGUGGAGUGAUUUGUCUGCUUAAUUGCGAUAACGAACGAGACCUUAACCUGCUAAAUAGCCCGUAUUGCUUUGGCAGUACGCCGGC